AGUGCUCUACCACUGAGCUACAACUUCAGGCCCUACCCCUCAGUUUUCACCAUGUCUAUAAAUCAUCUGUGCUAUAAUUUACCAAGUAAUUUUCUUUAAAUUGAUUCACUUUUAAACUUACUUAAAAAGGAAAUUUUCAUCAUAUUAGCAAAUACCUGUAUUGUGCUUAUUAUAUAAUAGUAUUAAGUUCCAGGCUCUGUUAUAAACACUUCCUUUUCCCUUUCCUCCCUUCCUCCCUCCUUGUUUCCUUCCUCCCUUCUUUUUAUGUACUGGGGGAUUGAAUUCAGGGUCCCAUGCAUGCUAGGCAAAUACUGAGCUAUAUCCCCAGCCUUUCUUAUUUUUUUAUUUUGAGACAGGGUCUAGCUAGGUUGUCCACGCUGGCCUUGAACUUGAGAUCUUCCUGCUUUAGCUUCCUGAGUAGCUAAGAUUACAGGUGCCACGGCAUGGGGCUAGAUAUGGAGCUCACUCCUUCUUUCCUUCCUUCCUUCCUCCUCCCUCCUUCCCUUUCUUCCUUCUUUCCUUCUCCCUCUCCCUGUUCCUCUCCCCGUUCCUCUCCC
rnacentral:lncRNA from 1 species